rnacentral:lncRNA from 1 species
UAUGAGUUCCUCUGUCUUUUCAAUUUCUUUUUUAAAAUUAUGUGUGACUUAUGUGUGCCCAUGCACACAAGCUUUGAGGAGAGGUGGUGCAAAGGUCUUUCAUGAGGACCAUGAUGGUUUUGAGUUCUAACUAGAAGACAACGUGGAAAAAAAUAUCUGAGGAUAGAUUACCUUGGAAAAAGCGUGCUUCAUCAUAAAACAUUUGCCAGUAGAUUUCUAUUUCUCCUCCUACCCUAUCCAUCUUUUACAUGUGGAUUAUUUGUAAGAGAGAUAAUUUGACCACUUUUAUUCUUAAACGAUUGGGUAAAAACAUUUCUGCAUCAAAUCUCACAUUAUGUCUCACCAACUCGUCUUGUUCUGUUCUUGGAAGAGUUAGUAAGUCUAAUAUGUUGAGUAGGAUGGAUACCACAUAAACGAGUUUAUGACUUGAGACCACACAAUGAGCUUCUGUUAGAGUUUGGCUGAAAAUCCAAGUCUAUGCAUUUCUAGCUCAAUGUUCUGCCCAUACUGUCAGUCUAAUGUGUCCUCGAUAGAUUUAUUUUUUAUUUAUUAAGGAAAGUCAAGUCCUGGUUUCUCUCAGCAUUUUUAAUUAAGGAAGAAGGUCCAGAAAUGUGGAUUUCCCUCUUCCAUUAUUUUCUUUCUCCAGUUUAACUUUUUUCCCAACCUCCAUUUUAGCUCGUUUUAAAAAUUAAUCUGGCCAACCUUUCUUCUUGCCCGCGCCGGGCUCACCAGGGACGUGACCACUGAUUACCGGCUGACCCUCCGCCAUUUAGUAUUUUGCACUGUCGGCUCUCCCUGCUGAGCCAGAAAGCCCGGACCAGAUUGGGAAGGAACACGUGAGCAGUUGUCCUUUGUUCUUCUCUUGGCUCCUCGCUCCGGCCAUGUGUUCUAGUCAGGACUUCCAAUUAGGAUGCCUGAAAGAAACGAGCAGACUGGCGAUGCCAUGUCCUCCUCUGCCGCCAGCAGGACUGGGGGUGGCAGAAUAUGCUGCCCGAAAAUUCAUCGGGAAAGAUUUGCUUCCAAGGAAAGAAAAUGCGACAUUUUAGCCUGCAGAUGCAAGUGAAGACACAUGGGACCUGGCCAAACAGAAUAAGUCAGCUCCCUGGACAUAGUGAUCCAUGCGGAACUGGCAUCCGCCCCAAGCAAAGCCGACCGAUAUUUGAAAUUUGACACAUAGAAACUGUGAAAAAAGGUAAGUUCUCUGCCUUUGUGAUAAAAAAAAAAAUGUAUGCAGAAAUUACUGUGGCUUUUUCCCCCUAGUCCCUUGGAAGAAUUUGUUUGCAGAGGAGAAAAGAGUUCAAGACAAAAAUGGAAGAAUUGAAAGCAAGAGGCAGAGAGAGAGAGAAAGGCUGAGGGAGAAAAUUCUGGAGCGAUUGAAUCAUAAUUUUUGAUAGCUGGAUUCAAAAUUUCUCAAACCCUACCUGUGCAUCAAGUUUUUAGUUACAUGAAAAAAUACAGUUCUAAAAAUUGAACCAGUUUGCAUUGG